AGAAAGCAAUAUACAGUAAGCUAAACAGUCACCUUCCAAAAGGGAGAAAGGGAUUAGAUUGCUGCUUCAGAGCUGUGGAACUAUUUGGAAUGUUUUACAAAUGGUUGCUAUAAAACAACAAAAAAGGUUGGAGAGAUGAGGAAGAAUCAACAAAGAAGAAUGUGAAGAGGCCAGUGAGCUAGGAGUAAAACCAAGAAAGUAAAGGAUCCUAGAAGUCAAACGAAGAAAGAGUUUCAAGAGGGGGAAUGUCAUUAUGUAUGUCAAGUACGGAAAAUGGGUUAAAUAAGUAAUAUGUACAUGACUUUUCCAUAAGUCAAAAGUCUUGAAGGACUGACUUUCUACGGAGAAGAAGUGACUCACUUUGCCUGGAGAGCUGGGAAAGAGGAGCCACUGAGAUGGGCUUUGAGAGGAUGACUAGGAAUCCCCAGAGAGAAAAAAGAGAGCAAAUGGAAUUUUACGAAUGAGAAAUAUUAAUAGCAUGUACGAACUCUAGCAUGUACUUUCAGUAAAACAAAAUUUUUCUUUUU